GUCCACGCCCUAAACGAUGCUGACUAGUUGUUCGGGAAUUUAUUCCUGAGUAACGUAGCUAACGCGUGAAGUCAGCCGCCUGGGAGUACGGUCGCAAGAUUAAACUCAAGGAAUUGACGGGACCCGCACAAGCGGUGGAUGAUGUGGAUUAAUUCGAUGCAACGCGAAACCUUACCUACCCUUGACAUGCCACUAACGAAGUAAGAUACAUUAGGUGCCCGUAAGGGAAGUGGACACAGGUGCUGCAUGGCUGUCGU
rnacentral:rRNA from 1 species